rnacentral:rRNA from 1 species
CGUGUAGGCGGUCUUUUAAGUCUGAUGUGAAAGCCCCGGGCUCAACCUGGGAAGUGCAUUGGAAACUGGGAGACUUGAAUACGGGAGAGGGUAGUGGAAUUCCUGGUGUAGGAGUGAAAUCCGUAGAUAUCAGGAGGAACACCGGUGGCGAAGGCGGCUACCUGGACCGAUAUUGACGCUGAGACGCGAAAGCGUGGGGAGCAAACAGGAUUAGAUACCCUGGUAGUCCACGCCGUAAACGAUGAGUACUAGGUGUCGCGGGUAUUGACCCCCGCGGUGCCGCAGCUAACGCAUUAAGUACUCCGCCUGGGAAGUACGGCCGCAAGGCUAAA